rnacentral:tRNA from 1 species
CGCGGGAUAGAGUAGAGGUCAAUUCGCCAGGCUUUCACCCUGGAAACGCUGGUUCAAAUCCAGCUCCCGCAACCA